UACGUAGGUGGCAAGCGUUAUCCGGAAUUAUUGGGCGUAAAGAGCGCGCAGGUGGUUGAUUAAGUCUGAUGUGAAAGCCCACGGCUUAACCGUGGAGGGUCAUUGGAAACUGGUCGACUUGAGUGCAGAAGAGGGAAGUGGAAUUCCAUGUGUAGCGGUGAAAUGCGUAGAGAUAUGGAGGAACACCAGUGGCGAAGGCGGCUUCCUGGUCUGUAACUGACACUGAGGCGCGAAAGCGUGGGGAGCAAACAGGAUUAGAUACCCCU
rnacentral:rRNA from 1 species